UAAAUUCAACAGAAUGUAUAGGUAAAAGGAAGAAGCAGAUGCAAAAAAAAAAAAAAGUGGUCACAAAAAUACAACAUAAACAAAACAAAGUGACAAUAACACAAAUGACAGUUUCCCUCCACCUCUGGAGAUGCCCUUCCCACAGUCCCAACAAGCCCCCUCACAGCUUCAGUCAGGCCUGACACUUUCAAUACUGGUCUCUGCUACUACAGAUUCUUGACAAGAGCUGUGUCAACAGGAAAGUCUCUUUCUUUCAAGCCUCUGUGUCUUCUCCCCAGCUUCUUCUGUAGCCUUCUUUUUUCCACUUUUCUUCUGCUCUCCCUCACCAACACAUAGCUCCAGCAACAGUUCUACUGCUCCUCCCGGUUACCUAGGUAACCUGCCUUCCCACUGCCUUCUCCUAGACACUGCAUGCUAGGUUACAGAAUUAAAAGGGCAGUAUUAUGCGCUGCAGCAUAUUUGGGAGGACAUCUAUGCUUUAUAUGCCAUUUGGAGGCUUCAUACGACAUGUUUGUCUCCAUCAAAAAACACCCACCAUGUUCAGCAUUCAUAGCACUGAUAUGGGACAUGGAAUCAGGGUGAUGGCUGUAGAGAAAACUGAUCUUACCAAGAGAGAACAUGGUGUCAGAAGUUGGGGCCACUUUCUACUGUCUCUGGAGUGGCAGAAGAGAAGCAAAAAGAAAACAAACCCAGACCGCUUCUGCUGAACUGAGGCAGAAGUUCCUUCCACCAGAAGUCUUUGAUUUUAGUAGGCCUGCAGGAUGGCAUGACUGGAAGCGCAGUUCUCCUGUUACACGAUGCUACAAAGCUGCAUGCAGAACAAAAAGAAAUCCACGUCUGUGCUCUUAUUUAUGUGAUGGGUCCGCAAGCAGAACAGAAUUUUUUAUGUCCUUUACCUUUUCUGCUGCUGGGAUAGGGAUAACUAUCUCAUAGUCCUGGUACAAUUUGAUCAAUAUUUUGUCCCAAAGAGGAACCUUUUUCAUGAGAGGGCCUGCUUCCACCAUAGGACUCAGAAACCUGGGGAAUCAGCUGAGGCCUCCAUGAGAUGUCUGCAAGAAAAUGCUGAUGACUGUGAGUCUGGGAACAGCAAAAAUGAAACUAUUAAGGAUAGACUAGUUGUGGGCAUUUUGUAUAAAGACUUAUCUCAGAAGCUGCAGAUGGAAAGCAACCUAACCCCAGAAGGGGCUGUGCAGAUUAUAAGGAAUUCAGAUCUGAUCAAGGGCCAAGUUCAAGAUCAGGGAGCUUUAUUGGGGCCUCAGGAAAUUGCUAAGGAGCUCUGGAGGUCAAAAUACUCCUGUGAGGGGAAGAAAGUGAAACAGCCAGCUCAGCCAAACGAUGCCCCAAGGCAAAACCAACCUACCCCAAAACAGAGGAAAGCUCCUAAUUGCACGUGGUGUGAUAAAGUGUCCAGAAAAUACUGCAGUAUCCCAUAAAUGUGGGAAGAUGGGUCAUUUUGUUCUUGCCUGUCAUUCUCGAGGAGUAGGAAAGUCGGAAAGCAAAAUAAUCCAGAUGAAAACUUCCUUUUGGGACUAAUUGCCUGCUUAGAUGGCUCUACUACCCAUGUGAGGUGCAGCUGCAAAUUAAUGGUGUCCCAGUGAAACUCAAAAUUGAUACAGGUGCUGAUGUAAGCGUGAUCUCAGAAUUUGUCUAUGGGAGGUUUUGAAACCCACCUCAUCUCCAACGGACACCCGCAUGCAGGGGCAGAUUGAGCUUUUUGCUGCCCAUAGGUGGCUUUGCCACCCCUCUCUGGAGAUGGUGGUGGCCACAGAGGCUGUUGAGGGGGGCGGCAGCUGUGAGGGUAAAGCAGGUGCUGACCUGACUGGCCAGCUGUGAUCCAAAGAAAGGCAGUAAAAUGGGUGAAACACUGGAUUAUCUAGUUGCCCUUUCAUGACUACCAGAAACCUCACCAACCUCCAAUAGUACUGGGGAAUGAUGUUGUUGCUAGCUGAAACUCUAGUCAAAUUGUUCUGACUUCCUAUAUUUAUAUUGCCAUGUGCAUUUUGGGUACCACUUUGGGUAUCCUUAUUAUGCACAUGUCAUAAUUGUGACAUGUUGUGCUGUAGUGCUUUUGUUGAUGCAUGUCUGAAUUUUCAAUAGAUAUCAAACACUUGCUUUUCCAUAUCUUGAGAUCCUCAGAAAAGACCAACCUACUGCCAUUUUGUUAUACCUGAAGCUAGCAGGGGAGAGAAUGAAACAGUUUGUGGGGGGAGGGAGACAGGGGCUGAAAUUUUAUGCUGUGCAUCCAUUCCAAAGAGGAGGGGUGAUUUUUUUUUAAUUUCCGCUUCCCUUUGAAGCCUAUUGUGCCUCUCAGAAAUAUGUCCCUGAAGGUUAUUCAAAAAUCAUCCCUCUUCUGUAGCAUGUGCACAGCAUUAAUCAGGAUGUCAGUCGAUAUAUUAGGACUGCAGUUGUGAAGGCUUAUUUUAAUAUGUUGGGUAAACUUCUCUGUUUGCCUAAGAUCAUCAUCAUUAUCAUCAUCAUUAAUAAAACUUUUAUACCGCCCUUCCAAAAGGCUCAGGUCAGAUUACAUAAAGAACAGUUACUGUCAGGUUUUGUUAGGUCUAGUUCAUUUUGACAUCUUUAUAAUACCAAAUGUGCUAGCUGUCAGAAUAUUCUCUUUCCCAAAUCUGCUGGCCCAAUUAAUAGUAAAAAUCUGGAGUCUUCUGACAGAAAUGCUACCUCUUCCUCUCUGUAUAUUCUAGCUUAAAAGAUGUUUGAGCUCGAUAAUUAGAGCAGAAAUGUAAGGAUUGUAUAGACCCACUAUAAUACAGAUGUUCAGUGUUACAACUGGUGGCAUAACAACCAGUAAUUUGGGUACAACAGUGCCUGAAUAGAAGAAUUCAAAAUGUGAUCCCAUUAUAAGGGUUGUUUUUUUAUUUUAAGCUGACCUUUUUUGGUGGAAUUGUAUAUUUUAUGUGAUUCAGUUUCUAUUAAGAUGUGCUAAGUAGAAUAUUUUUUUUCUGG